rnacentral:rRNA from 1 species
UACGGGAGGCAGCAGUGGGGAAUAUUGCACAAUGGGCGCAAGCCUGAUGCAGCCAUGCCGCGUGUAUGAAGAAGGCCUUCGGGUUGUAAAGUACUUUUCAGUCGUGAGGAAGGUGUUAAGGUUAAUAACCUUAGCAAUUGACGUUAGCGACAGAAGAAGCACCGGCUAACUCCGUGCCAGCAGCCGCGGUAAUACGGAGGGUGCGAGCGUUAAUCGGAAUUACUGGGCGUAAAGGGCACGCAGGCGGUUAUAAGUUGGAUGUGAAAUCCCCGGGCUUAACCUGGGAAUGGCAUUCAAGACUGGUUAGCUAGAGUCUUGUAGAGGGGGUAGAAUUCCAUGUGUAGCGGUGAAAUGCGUAGAGAUGUGGAGGAAUACCGGUGGCGAAGGCGGCCCCUGGACAAAGACUGACGCUCAUGUGCGAAAGCGUGGGGAGCAAACAGGGAUUAGAUACC